rnacentral:rRNA from 1 species
CGCCUGGGGAGUGCGGCCGCAAGGUUAAAACUCAAAUGAAUUGACGGGGGCCCGCACAAGCGGUGGAGCAUGUGGUUUAAUUCGACGCAACGCGAAGAACCUUACCUGGCCUUGACAUCCAGAGAGCUUUCCAGAGAUGGAUUGGUGCCUUCGGGAACUCUGAGACAGGUGCUGCAUGGCCGUCGUCAGCUCGUGUCGUGAGAUGUUGGGUUAAGUCCCGUAACGAGCGCAACCCCUAUCCCUGGUUGCUAGCAGGUAAUGCUGAGAACUCCAGGGGGACUGCCGGUGACAAACCGGAGGAAGGUGGGGAUGACGUCAGGUCAUCAUGGCCCUUACGGCCAGGGCUACACACGUGCUACAAUGGCGCGUACAGAGGGCUGCCAACUCGCGAGAGUGAGUCAAUCCCUUAAAACGCGUCGUAGUCCGGAUCGGAGUCUGCAACUCGACUCCGUGAAGUCGGAAUCGCUAGUAAUCGCGAAUCAGAAUGUCGCGGUGAAUACGUUCCCGGGCCUUGUACACACCGCCCGUCACACCAUGGGAGUGGAUUGCACCAGAAGUAGUUAGUCUAACCUUCGGGAGGACGAUUACCACGGUGUGGUUCAUGACUGGGGUGAAGUCGUAACAAGGUAACCGUA